GAUGAACGCUGGCGGCGUGCCUAAUACAUGCAAGUCGAGCGAAUGGAUUAAGAGCUUGCUCUUAUGAGGUUAGCGGCGGACGGGUGAGUAACACGUGGGUAACCUGCCCAUAAGACUGGGAUAACUCCGGGAAACCGGGGCUAAUACCGGAUAACAUUUUGAACCGCAUGGUUCGAAAUUGAAAGGCGGCUUCGGCUGUCACUUAUGGAUGGACCCGCGUCGCAUUAGCUAGUUGGUGAGGUAACGGCUCACCAAGGCAACGAUGCGUAGCCGCACUGAGAGGGUGAUCGGCCACACUGGGACUGAGACACGGCCCAGACUCCUACGGGAGGCAGCAGUAGGGAAUCUUCCGCAAUGGACGAAAGUCUGACGGAGCAACGCCGCGUGAGUGAUGAAGGCUUUCGGGUCGUAAAACUCUGUUGUUAGGGAAGAACAAGUGCUAGUUGAAUAAGCUGACACCUUGACGGUACCUAACCAGAAAGCCACGGCUAACUACGUGCCAGCCGCCGCCGUAA
rnacentral:rRNA from 1 species